rnacentral:sRNA from 1 species
GCUGGGCGCGGUGGUGCGCGACUGUAGUCCUAGCUACUCCGGAGGCUGAGGCAGUAGUAUCGCUUGAGUCCAGGAGUUCUGGGCUGCAGUGCGCUAUGCCGAUCGGGUGUCCGCACUAAGUUUGGCAUCAAUAUGGUGCCUCCCGGAAGCGGGGGACCACCAGGUUGCCUAAGGAGGGGUGAACCGGCCCAGGUCGGAAAAUUUAAACUACAACCUAAUAAUAGACAAACUGCUUAUCCAAAAGUGCGCUCCA